GAACAGUGUCUUAUUUUACACUAACACUUAUGUGAUUUGUGAUGUAAUCAAAACUCGAAACAAAAUUGCAUUUUGUGAAAAAAUUGCAUUUUCACGGACUUGAAAUGUUUCAAAGAUCGAUUGGGGGCGGAAUGAAGUAAACUGAUAUAGUUCUGCAAGUUUUUUUCUAUAACGUUUUCUCCUUUAUAAUUUUGAUUUUUUUCCAAAUAACCUUUGUAGAGGUGUGUAGUAUGAAGUUAUGAACUAUUUUCGACUAAAAAUGAAAGCAUGAAAAUCCUUUUACAAUUUUUUUUCCUUCAAAUAUUUGUUCAUCUUUGAAUACCACCGGCUUUGCUUCUCUCCCAGGGUGUCCAGCUCAGAUGCCACGUCACAAAUUCGAUUCGCGAACGUUUGACACGUGUCACACUUUAAUGAAACGCAUAGUUUCAUAAUUCGUCUUCCUCUAGGCCUCCGUUUGGACUUCGUAAUACGCUUUGAAUUUAAGGCCCAAAGACCAUUGAAUUUGGUAGGAACCCUAAUCCGGGUUGGAGCGCAUCUUCAUGUUCUUCGCUUCUCUCAUCGGCGGAAGGGACGAUUCGGAUUUCUGUAACGCUAUGUGUUGUGAUUUUCCGUCUUAAAUCCUCUUAAUUCGCCAGCCCACUCCAAGACCUUUCGAUUGCGUUGUUCGUCGGCGAAAUCGUAGGCCAGACUGCUUCGAUUCUGGGAGGUUAGGAAUGUUAAGCGUGGUGGGAGCUUAAGUGGAUGGAUUUGCUCAUGGUGGAUGUUAACGCAACCAUGAUGCAAGUGACGAUCAGUUCAAGCCUUCUCCCACAAUACCGGGAGAGACUCAUUGCCGGAACAAUGUUUUCCAUGUCCGGUUUUGAUGUCUCUAGAUGUGCACAGAGCUUCCGGCUCACGAGUCUUCUCUGUUGAUCAGGUUCAAAGAGAACACCAUUUUCGAGGAGAUAACUGAUCCAUAUCCCCCUUGCCCGAGGAAGCAUUUCGGUUUCGUAACCAUUCUGAGAUGAUUGGUUUAGCCAAUACAAACAUUCAAUUGCCAGGUAUAUUGCUCCCAAUUGACACGUACCUCUUAUAUUGUUGAACUUCUGUGUGUAAAGAGUAUGGUCUGUUUAUAUUUGUAAGAAAGUGAUAUAUAUCUCAUACUUUAUGUAGACGUCAUAGGUGAAAUACUUGGUGUGAAAAGCAUCAGUUUAGUCUAAAGACAUACAGCCAUUGAGUUAUUGACCUUUCUUACACUUACUGAAAACAUGGUUUACAAAUUAUACUCUGUUUAUAGACGCUAUCCUCUGUUUUGCAAUUUACAUUUCGUAGACCAACGACUCUGUCGUCUAAUAAAGUAAACCAACUCCCGGUUUGUCCAUCAUAAAGACACAAACCCAAAGUCUACUAAACGUUUACAUACACAUAGCCCAAAUCACAUAUUGUACGUGCUUCAAAUACUUUAAUAUAUCGGUGGAAUUAACCAUACUACCUUAUUGAUACAACAAUAAAAAUAUAUAUGUUUUAAAUGAAAUUUUAUUCAACAAUAAAAUAGUUUUAGUUAAAAUGAAUAAGUUGUUUUUUAAUAUCGCAUAAAUUAUUAGUUUAAAAGAAAAUAUGGAAAAACAAAUUAAUACAUGAAACAAAAAUAUAACUAAGAGAAAGUAACUUUGCUCUACUAACUCUAAUUCUAAAUUUAAAAACCUAUGUGACUUACUGCUGUAUUUAAACAAAAAAAAACAUCAAAAGAAAGUAAAUAAUUUUAUUUAUAAAAUUUUAUUACAAUUAGACAAAUUUAUAAUUUGUAAAAUGAAGAAUAAAGUACAUAGAUAAAAUUGUUGUAAAACAAUUAUGAACCUUAUUUUCAUUUUAAAUUAAAAUUAAAAUAAAAUUUAACAUAUUAAUAAAUUACGAUGCCUAUGUAUUUAUUCAUCAACUCCUCUGGAUCAGUUUCAUAUUUUCCCCCCAUAACUGGUACGUUACAUAACAAAUAAAAAUAAUAGUAAUAUUAAUAAAGAACACAAAGUAACUAAUUACUACAUCCAUAAUAUUGCUAGGUGGAAAAAAAAAAACCCGCUACUUCUGACAGAAAAUUAUAUAUAUAUAUAUAUAUAUAUAUAUACAAUUAAUUUAUACAAUAUAGUUUCAGAAUCUCAUAUAUGUAUUCCAAAAAAAACAUAUCAAAGAGCAAUAUCAACUAUCCCUAAUAUCAAGCAUUCAAACGAUAAAUAUGCAAACAGAAUCUACGCAAUUAAUGCUGAUUGCAACGUACCAUGCAACUCAAAAACUCAUUGCGGUAUAAAGUUAUACCUAAUACCUACUGCACACGUAUAUCACACGAUCAACCACUAAAAAAACAACCAAAAGAAACACAAAGAAAUGAAUCCCUCUCCCAAUCUCCCAGCCGCCUAAUCUCAUCAGGAUUCAAACGACGUCAGAGGUAAAACCAAAGCGAGAACAGCUCAGAUGAAGACACAUCUGACAUAUCACCAGCAUCCUAUUUCAAAAAACCUUAACCUAGAAUAUAAUACUUUGCAUCCGAACCACAGAGGAUGGCGAUUGAACACAAAUACUUAAUGGAGCUGUGCUUGGAACACCAUAACCCUGAAGCACACUAUAUUGAAGGUAUAAAUCAAUAUUUCUUCCAUACCAACCCAAGCAAAGCACUAGAUUACCUACGACAGUCAGUUCAAGGAAAACAUGAUAAGGAAUGGAAACUUGAAUCAGGGGAAAAAGAUUUUAGACACCCUAAAAUGGGAACAAACGUUAACUACAUCCAACAGCCGCUGGAGAAAGAUCAAAAAAAUACUCAGUGAUUACAAAAUUACUCUGGAGGACAUGUAUCUAAUCAACAUGGACAGACUCAAACCCCCAAGAAGCUGCGAUCUCCACAAAAAAAAACAUCUGUGCAAGAAAUGUACUACUUUUUAAGAGUUCAGAUGUUUGUGGAUUAUAUUGCUUAUAGAUAGCAAAUUAUAUUAUUAUAUUCUUUUCUUUUCUUUUCGAGACAUGAGCCAGUUAUUAUUUGUGUUCAGAGUUCAAUAAUUCCAAAUUUUGUGUAUCUACCAAAUACUUAUCAAAUAAAAACAAAUCUCGAAAAAUAUAUCAAAUUCGAAUAUAUAUGCCUUCCUCAAACAAAUGUAAAAAUAUGAAACAGCCAAUGUUUAUUAUACAUAUACUUUAUAUGUUGAAAUUCUUUUAUAAUCCACAUCCCGCCGCCUAGUCUUUAUAUAUAUAAUAGAGUUUCCUCUCUCCUAGGCGUGCCACGUAGGCGGACACGUCAGAAAGUCGAAAGCUCUAGGCGUGACACGUGUCUCAUCUCCUUAAACUUUGCGUUUCAUUAAGUCAAAUAUUUCAUUUGUUUGGGCUUAUUCCGUUUGUGCUUUCGGGCUCUGUGGAGUCUAACCCUAAUUUUGUUUUCACGAAACAUGAAACUUUACGGUUUGUCUCUCCCCUUUCGGCCACUUCUGAUUUCUGACCACGAUCGUAACGAUCGAUCGACUCUCCCCUUCCUCUGUCACCUUCAAUGGUGUUUCAAGAGAUUGUUUGUCUCAGAUCUCUGUCCCCUUCAAUGGUGUUUCAAGAGAUUGUUUGUCUCAGAUCAAUCUGCAGCCGCGUCUCUUUGUCUUUCUACCUACUGAUUAUUAAGUGAUGUUGUCCCAAUCCUUGGAAUAAGCGGAAACCAUAUCAGAUGACUGAGCAGGUAGGUGAGAAUCGAAACAAACUUUUUGUUUUUCUAUUAUCUUUCGUGUUGUACACUUCUGCUUUGCUGGUCUGGAUUUGAUACUUGGGUAUUAACCACCCAUGUUUUAUAGGUCGCUCUUUUUGGAUAUGAUUACACCAAAGAUGUGGGGGCUGGUCAGACAAACUUCUGUUUAUCAUUGAUUCUAUUGAAGGUUACUGUCAUCUUCUCAAUAUCAUGUAUAUGUAGUUUCUCAUUCUGUUGAACCAUGGCAGCUUGAAGAUUAUCAACCACCAUGCCAUCUUCAAAUGGAGUUACAAAACAGAGACAUAUACUCAGGUAUUGAUUGCUUAAACCUCUUCCUUCUUUUUCAUUAAUUUCUAUUGGCUAAUGAUUUUAUAUUUGUGAGAAGUUAUAUUCUAUUGGAACACUUGGUGUUGCAACUGCGUUAAGAGCUUUGUCUUGCUCCGCGCAACUAUCUGUGCAGUAAUGUCCGACUAGGUAGCAUGUUCUAUUACAGUGCCUCGAGGUUUUCACCAAUCAGAAGAGACCAUUCCACAUCUUGGAACACUUCAUAAGGAUAUGUUCCUAUAUCAACUUCUCUCAACCAAGGGAACAAGGAAUCCUCGAGUUCCAUUGCAGAUAAAGCGAUUAUCUGACCCAAGAAAACAGUUCUAUGCUGUUCAGGACUUACCUUUGAAAAGAAGAAUCUGAUUUUGGAAUUUGCUGAAGUUUCUGGAGUUACAAUCUCGAGAAAAUGGGAGCCAAGAGUUACGCAUGUAAUUGCAUCAACCAACGAAAAUGGAGCCUGCAAAAGGACACUCAAAUUCAUGAUGGGGAUCCUGGAGGGGAAAUGGAUUCUGAGCAUUGAUUGGAUCAAGGCCUGUAUGAAAGACAGAGAAUAUGUAAGCGAGGAGCUAUAUGAGAUUUCCAUUGAUGUACAUGGAACACGACAAGCACUACAAGAAAACAGCGGUAUUCUGAC